UAGGGAAUAUUGCAAAUGGGCGAAAGCCUGAUGUAGCAACGCCGCGUGUGCGAUGAAGGUCUUCGGAUUGUAAAGCACUUUUUGGAGGGAUGAGGAAGGACAGUACCUCCAGAAUAAGCCUCGGCUAACUACGUGCCAGCAGCCGCGGUAACACGUAGGAGGCAAGCGUUAUUCGGAUUUACUGGGCGUAAAGCGCGUGCAGGCGGUUUGGAAAGUUGGAUGUGAAAGCUCCUGGCUCAACUGGGAGAGGUCGCUCAAGACUGGCUGACUCGAGGAUGGUAGGGGAAGGUGGAAUUCCGGGUGUAGUGGUGAAAUGCGUAGAUAUCCGGAGGAACACCAGUGGCGAAGGCGGCCUUCUGGACCAUCACUGACGCUCAGACGCGAAAGCUAGGGUAGCAAACGG
rnacentral:rRNA from 1 species